UGGUUUUUUUUUAUUAAGUUUGGUGGUGGUGGUGGAGGAAUAGAAAAAAAAUAAAGAAACGAAAAAUUUUAAAAAUUAAAAAAAAUAUGUUGCAUAAUUUAAAAAUAAAAGAUAAAAUUUUACUGUAUUAUUAUCUUUAUAUUAUACUACUUACACAUAUAUUGCACUAUCUAUAUAAAUAUUAUACUAUUUGCGCUGUAUAGUUUAUAUGAAGUUGUAAAUUACUUGAGAGUAAAUUGAACUCUUAUUUUUAUUGCAAGAAAAAAUUAUA
rnacentral:lncRNA from 1 species